UACAGAGGUCUCAAGCGUUGUUCGGAAUUACUGGGCGUAAAGGGCCAGUAGGCGGCCAACUAAGUCACACGUGAAAUCGCCAGGCUUAACCUGGGAACUGCGUGUGAUACUGGAUGGCUUGAAUUCGGGAGAGGGAUGCAGAAUUCCAGGUGUAGCGGUGAAAUGCGUAGAUAUCUGGAGGAAUACCGGUGGCGAAGGCGGCAUCCUGGACCGACAUUGACGCUGAACGGCGAAAGCUAGGGGAGCAAACGGG
rnacentral:rRNA from 1 species